CAUCCAUGUUAAACAAAAAAGCAAGUAAUUUGGAGGUGCAUCCAGCAAAAUAAAAACAUACAAAAUAUACUUGUUGCGGCCAAUCCCCUCGUCGCCUGGUCGUCGGGAACGAGUGCCUGCAAAAGAAGUCCGCACUGACCGGAGGUGACUCUGGCGGAGACCCUCCGACGGUCAAGUCAGAGAGGAGACUAGACAACAGUAGAAAAGAAUCAAGGAGCUCAACGAGAGAGGGUGAAAGCGAGGG
rnacentral:lncRNA from 1 species